GGAUGUGAAGGUGAUCUGGCUGCGACAUGGGUCACCCCAUUGGUUGCCAGGGUUGCUCUGACUGAUGUGGCCGCCUAGAUGGGCGUCCCCUUCCUCCCGCACCGCUCCGUGUGUGUCCAUCCCAAAGCUGCACGCUCUGUCAGGGGCGGCGGCCUUCCCCGAGAGAGGAGGACCAUUCUCUGGCCGAGGGUAUACGAGUAGCUGCACCCCCUGUUAGAAGCUGCGGACAAGCUCCUGAGGCCCAUUUGUAGGAGAAUGUAGGGAGCCAACCUUCAGGCUCCAGACACAUCCAANN
rnacentral:snRNA from 1 species